CCCAAGAAUGAGGACUCCCGGCAGGCCCAGCCCACCAGCCACCCCCCGUCUCCCCACUCCUCUCCUCCCUCCUCGCCCACCAAAUCCCCGAGAAAAAAAUGGGAGGGAGUUAUGCGGGACGCGUGCUUGGCUCCAGCACUUUGGGAAUGAAAGGAAUUGCAGGAGAGCCCCGGAGCACCCGGAGUUUUCAAGGAGCUUCUGUAUUCAAUAAAAACAGCUACUUGUCUACUUGCACCCGUCUGUUAGCUCUCACCCGUCGGCGGGAGAGGGGAGGAGUCCAGCGCCUGAUCGGCCACACCGCUGGAGUCCUGGGCUGGCGGCGGUAACCUUAUCCUUGUGCAAAAAUCUGCUUCGUAUGGCAGACGUGGAACCAGUGGACUCAUUGCGCUGCCUACUCUGAAAGCACUAGGUUCAUUCAGGAACUGUACUUAAAAGAGUUGAACUGUACUCUGAGGGAGGAGGAAGAAAAAAUGUAUGGGAGCUGACAUUAAGAGG